rnacentral:rRNA from 1 species
ACAAGCAGUGGGAGCACAGGUUUACCUGUGUGACUGCGUACCUUUUGUAUAAUGGGUCAGCGACUUAUAUUCUGUAGCAAGGUUAACCGAAUAGGGGAGCCGGAGGGAAACCGAGUCUUAAUUGGGCGUUAAGUUGCAGGGUAUAGACCCGAAACCCGGUGAUCUAGCCAUGGGCAGGUUGAAGGUUGGGUAACACUAACUGGAGGACCGAACCGACUAAUGUUGAAAAAUUAGCGGAUGACCUGUGGCUGGGGGUGAAAGGCCAAUCAAACCGGGAGAUAGCUGGUUCUCCCCGAAAGCUAUUUAGGUAGCGCCUCGUGAAUUCAUCUCCGGGGGUAGAGCACUGUUUCGGCUAGGGGGCCAUCCCGGCUUACCAACCCGAUGCAAACUGCGAAUACCGGAGAAUGUUAUCACGGGAGACACACGGCGGGUGCUAACGUCCGUCGUGAAGAGGGAAACAACCCAGACCGCCAGCUAAGGUCCCAAAGUCAUGGUUAAGUGGGAAACGAUGUGGGAAGGCCCAGACAGCCAGGAUGUUGGCUUAGAAGCAGCCAUCAUUUAAAGAAAGCGUAAUAGCUCACUGGUCGAGUCGGCCUGCGCGGAAGAUGUAACGGGGCUAAACCAUGCACCGAAGCUGCGGCAGCGACGCUUAUGCGU